rnacentral:rRNA from 1 species
UACGAAGGGGGCUAGCGUUGUUCGGAAUCAUUGGGCGUAAAGCGCGUGUAGGCGGCUUGGCAAGUCGAGUGUGAAAGCCCGGGGCUCAACCCCGGAAGGUCGCUCGAAACUGCCUCGCUAGAGUCCCGGAGAGGAAGGCGGAAUUCCCGGUGUAGAGGUGAAAUUCGUAGAUAUCGGGAGGAACACCAGCGGCGAAGGCGGCCUUCUGGACGGUGACUGACGCUGAGACGCGAAAGCGUGGGGAGCAAACAGG